rnacentral:rRNA from 1 species
CUACGGGGUGCUCCAGUAGGGAAUAUUGGACAAUGGGCGAAAGCCUGAUCCAGCAACACCGCGUGCACGAUGACGGCCUUCGGGUUGUAAAGUGCUUUUAGAGGAGAUGAGAAAGGACAGUAUCCUCUGAAUAAGCCUCGGCGAACUACGUGCCAGCAGCCGCGGUAAAACGUAGGAGGCAAGCGUUAUCCGGAUUUAUUGGGCGUAAAGCGCGUGCAGGCGGUCUAGCAAGUUGGAUGUGAAAGCUCCCGGCUCAACUGGGAGAGGUCGUUCAAUACUGUUAGACUAGAGAAUAGGGAGAGGGAGGUGGAAUUCCGGGUGUAGUGGUGAAAUGCGUAGAUAUCCGGAGGAACACCAGUGGCGAAAGCGGCCUCCUGGACUAUUUCUGACGCUAAGACGCGAAAGCUAGGGUAGCAAACGGGAUUAGAUACCCCUGUAGUC